rnacentral:rRNA from 1 species
CCUACGGGUGGCAGCAGUGAGGAAUAUUGGUCAAUGGCCGUAAGGCUGAACCAGCCAAGUCGCGUGAAGGACGAAGGAUCUAUGGUUUUUAAACGUCUUUUAUAGGGGAAUAAAGGUAUCCUCGGUUGGAUAUUUACAUGUACCCUAUUCAUAAGCAUCGGCUAACUCCGUGCCAUCCGCCGCGGUAAUACGGAGGAUGCGAGCUUUAUCCUGUAUUAUUUGGUUUCAAGUGUGCGUGUGUUGUUUUUUAAGUCAGCGGUGAAAGUUUGUGGCUCAACCAUAGAAUUGCCGUGGAAACUGGAAGACUUGAGUGUGUUUGAGGUAGGCGGAAUGCGAGGUGUAGCGGUGAAAUGCAUAGAUAUCACGAAGAACUCCGAAUGCGAAGGCAGCUUACUAAGCCAUAACUGACACUGAAGCACGAAAGCGUGGGGAGCAAACAGGAUUAGAUACCCCAGUAGUC